UGGGGUGUGUGUUGGGUGUUGCGUAUGUACAUUAUGUAUGUAUUGGGAUGUGUGUUGGGUAUAUGUGUGUGUUGGGCAUGUGUGUAUUGGGGCUGUGUAUUUGUGUGUUGGGCGUGUGUUGUGUGUAUUGGGGGUGUAUAUGUGUGUGUUGUGUAUGUUUGUGUGUGUGUUGGGUGUGUGUAUAUGUCAGGUGUGUGUGUUGGGUAUAUGUGUGUGUUGGGGUGUGUGUGUUGGUGUUGUGUGUGUUGGGUGUGUGUUUUGUGUAUUGGGUGUGUUGUGUUGGGUGUGUUGAGUGUGUAUUGGGGGUGUGCAUGUGUGUGUUGCGUGUUGGGUAUGUGUAUGUGUGUUGGGUUUGUGUGUGUGUUGGGUAUGUGUUGUGUGUGUGUUCAGUGUGUGUGUUGGGUAUGUGUGUGUGUUGGGGUGUGUGUGUUGGGUGUGUGUUGGGGUGUGUGUGUUGGGUGUGUGUUGGGGGUGUGUGUUGGGUGUGUGUGUGUUGUGUGCGUGUGUUGGGGGUGUGCGUGUGUUGGGGGUGUGUGUGCUGGGGGUGUGUGUGUUGGGUGUGUGUGUGUGUUGGGUGUGUUUGUGUGUGUGUUGUGGGGGUGUGAGCACAGAGCUUAUCUGCCCUCCCUGGGCAUGCUGCCCUCCAGCAGCUUGCACAUGUUCAGGUAUCUGCA
rnacentral:lncRNA from 1 species